rnacentral:rRNA from 1 species
UACGUAGGGUGCAAGCGUUGUCCGGAAUUAUUGGGCGUAAAGAGCUCGUAGGCGGUCUGUCGCGUCUGCUGUGAAAACUCAGGGCUUAACCCUGAGCUUGCAGUGGGUACGGGCAGACUAGAGUGCGGUAGGGGAGACUGGAAUUCCUGGUGUAGCGGUGAAAUGCGUAGAUAUCUGGAGGAAUACCGGUGGCGAAGGCGGCAUCCUGGACCGACAUUGACGCUGAGGAGCGAAAGCCAGGGGAGCAAACGGG